AUUUUCUGUGUUUUUCAGAAUGUCUUCCACGAAACAGCAGUUGUGUGAAAUGCACUAUAAGAAAAGAGUCCCUGUGGUCCCCACUUCUUGGAGAGUCAGUACAUUGGUUAGUAUGUGAAAGCCUCUGAGAAGUCCUGCGGCAGUACAAGACUUGGAAAUUAAUUUUGACCCAGCAUUGUCCAAAUAUAUUUGAGCAUGGAUAGACAAGAGUGAAAGCAGAGACACCAUAUUCCAACAAUACAGACAGGAGACGAGAAGUGUUUGGGCAAAGGAGGAUGGCAGCAGAGGUGGUAAGAAGCAACUGGAUUCUGAACAUAUUUCAAAUGCAGAGCCAAUCAGAUUUGCCGGUGGAUAGGAUAUAGAGUGUAAGAAAAUGAAUGAAGUCAAGGAUGAUGCUGAGAUUUUUAGGCCUGAUCAACACAUGAACAGAAUUUUCACUUCCUUCAGGAAGUUCUCCCUAUACUAAUAGCCCCACCCUUACCAUCACAACCUCUUACCACGUCAAAUCUCUUGCCUUCAGAGAUUGCACAGUUUUAGUUAUAUCUUUGUUGAUGACAUUUUUGACAAUGGCUGAGUUUAUCAUUUUUGCUUGCUAUUGUAUCUCCAGUGCCUAGCACAUUGUAGGCACGCAAUAAAUAUUUGUUGAAUGAAUGAAUGGACAGAGACUAGCAUGUGGUAGUUGUUUAAACUGUAGCUACCAUAUUAUUAAUCUAUCUAAUAUCCAGUGAUAUUAAUAUUAAUAUGACUAGUCAAUUUAAUAUGCAGUGCGGUGCUGG
rnacentral:lncRNA from 1 species